rnacentral:rRNA from 1 species
GACGAACGCUGGCGGCGCGCUUAAUACAUGCAAGUCGAGCGAGAACCGGAGCUUCGGCUCCGGGGACAGCGGCGAACGGGUGAGUAACACGUGGGUAACCUGCCCUCGGCACCGGGAUAGCCCGGGGAAACCCGGAUUAAUACCGGAUGGCCCUUCCGCUUUUCGGAGCGGUCGGAAAAGGUAGCUUCGGCCUCCGGCCGAGGAUGGGCCCGCGGCGGAUUAGCUUGUUGGUGAAGGUAACGGCUCACCAAGGCUUCGAUCCGUAGCUGGUCUGAGAGGACGAUCAGCCACACUGGGACUGAGACACGGCCCAGACUCCUACGGGAGGCAGCAGUAGGGAAUCUUGCACAAUGGGCGCAAGCCUGAUGCAGCGACGCCGCGUGCGGGAAGACGGCCUUCGGGUUGUAAACCGCUUUCAGGAGGGACGAAGCCACUCGGGUGAACAGCCCAGAGGGUGACGGUACCUCCAGAAGAAGCCCCGGCUAACUACGUGCCAGCCGCCGCCGUAAGAC